CAUCAGACUUUAAUGGCACUUGUAACUCAUAUAGGUGCAAAGUUCUCAUCAAUAGAAACGAAUUAAGUUCAAACAGCAGGAAAUUGCUAUAAAUCGUUAAAGAGUUCCCUCGACUAACUUUUGUCUCCAUCAUCAGACUGCAAUGGCACUUAUAACUCAUACAGGUGCAAAGUUCUCAUCAAUAGAAACGAAUUAAGUUCAAAAAGCAGGUAAUUGCUAUAAAUUGUUGAAGAGUUCCCUCGACUAUCUUUCUUCUCCAUCAUCAGAUCGACUCCAGACCUUUAUUAAAUAGUAGUACUUUAUAGUACUUAAUGAAAACAUGAUUAAAUUUACUAGUCACCCUUACGAUUUUUGAAAGUUUCCCUCGAUUUCUCUGGGAUCCCAUCAUCAGAUCC
rnacentral:misc_RNA from 1 species